GAUCUUAUCAUUUAUAAGCCCUAAACAACC
rnacentral:piRNA from 1 species